UGUCUUUGCCUUCUCAGCCCAGAGGGUGAAGGAACUUUCUAUGCUUGUAAAGCACGUGGCAGAGCGGAGCUCCUCAGACCCUGC